CUAGCCAUUUUUGUUUGAAUUGAUCUAUUAAAUUCUGUUUGAUGGUUACAUGAAGCCAUGUUUUUCUUUACAAAAAAGAUAUUGUCCCAUACUGCCACGGGAUUGUGGAAUGACUUAAGAUGGAUUCAAGCCAGCUAGGACAUUGAUUACAUCAUUUUGAGACUCAUCUUUUACUUUAACGUAUGGGAGUUAUCCUAUCAUAAAUAGGAUUGAAUUCUAGAACUUUUCAACAGUACAUUUUAUAGGAUCAACAAAUAAUUUAUAGGAAUGUUUUUUAUGCAAACUAUUGCAAAAUAGUUGAAGA
rnacentral:lncRNA from 1 species